rnacentral:rRNA from 1 species
CGUGGGUGACCUGCCCUGUACUUCGGGAUAAGCCUGGGAAACUGGGUCUAAUACCGGAUAUGACCUUCCCCUGCAUGGGGGUUGGUGGAAAGCUUUUGCGGUACAGGAUGGGCCCGCGGCCUAUCAGCUUGUUGGUGGGGUAAUGGCCUACCAAGGCGACGACGGGUAGCCGGCCUGAGAGGGCGACCGGCCACACUGGGACUGAGACACGGCCCAGACUCCUACGGGAGGCAGCAGUGGGGAAUAUUGCACAAUGGGCGGAAGCCUGAUGCAGCGACGCCGCGUGAGGGAUGACGGCCUUCGGGUUGUAAACCUCUUUCAGUAGGGACGAAGCGCAAGUGACGGUACCUACAGAAGAAGCACCGGCCAACUACGUGCCAGCAGCCGCGGUAAUACGUAGGGUGCGAGCGUUGUCCGGAUUUACUGGGCGUAAAGAGCUCGUAGGCGGUUUGUCACGUCGUCUGUGAAAACCCGAGGCUUAACCUCGGGCCUGCAGGCGAUACGGGCA